UACAGAGGUCUCGAGCGUUGUUCGGAUUCAUUGGGCGUAAAGGGUGCGUAGGUGGCGCUGUAAGUCGGGUGUGAAAUCCUGAGGCUUAACCUCGGAACUGCAUUCGAUACUGCGGCGCUUGAGGACUGGAGAGGAGACUGGAAUUCAUGGUGUAGCAGUGAAAUGCGUAGAGAUCAUGAGGAAGACCAGUGGCGAAGGCGGGUCUCUGGACAGUUCCUGACGCUGAGGCACGAAGGUCAGGGGAGCAAACGGG
rnacentral:rRNA from 1 species